UACGUAGGGGGCAAGCGUUGUCCGGAAUCAUUGGGCGUAAAGCGCGUGUAGGCGGUCCGAUAAGUCGGCUGUGAAAGUCCAGGGCUCAACCCUGGGAUGCCGGUCGAUACUGUCGGACUAGAGUUCGGAAGAGGCGAGUGGAAUUCCCGGUAUAGCGGUGAAAUGCGCAGAUAUCGGGAGGAACACCAAUGGCGAAGGCAGCUCGCUGGGACGUUACUGACGCUGAGACGCGAAAGCGUGGGGAGCAAACAGG
rnacentral:rRNA from 1 species